AGCCUGAAAUCCUGCUUCCACUAAGUACCAGCUGGGUAACUUCAGGCCCUGGAGGUCCAUGCUUCUGCCCAAGCUGUGUCUCAUCUCUGCAGGUGGAGCCCAGUUGACAGGAAAUGUUUCUCCAGAAGCUGAAAAGCUGCCUGGUAAAGGCCUUUCAUAAAAUGGUCUGCGUUUGGGACCAGGAAGACAGAAGACUCCUCAAGAAGAGAACUGGAACCUUAACCCACUUCAGACUUCUUCAUGUCUGAAGCUUAUUUCCACCAUCCCAUUGAG
rnacentral:lncRNA from 1 species